UGGCGUAGCGCGCAAAGCCUCGGCUUGCUAAGCCGAGGGUCCCGGGUUCGAUUCCCGG
rnacentral:tRNA from 1 species